rnacentral:lncRNA from 10 species
GACCAGAUAGAGUGAUAGGGAAGCAGUUCUCUGAGCAAAGAGAGUGCUACUAUUAGAAGAAAGAGAGAACAGAUGCUGGGGACAAAAAUCAACAGAAGCUCAUGACACUGGGACUCUACCAUGGGCCUGUCCCUGGUACAAGAUGUUUACCAAUCACCUGCCAUCUGCCAGGCACCUGGGAUACAUCAGCAGCAAAGAGAAAAAAACUCACCCUCUGGGACCUGAUAUCCCGGGCAUGAUGUGUGAAGAGCUGCGGUGGCCCCUGAAGGAACCUGGCCUAUGCAUCCCCGUGGUUGCAUCUUCCCAUCGAUGUGUUUCUAAUAUUAGUUGCAAUAACCACAGCGAUCAUUCAUAGGGAACCUACUGUAUUAGUCAGGAUCAUUUCGGUUUUAAGUCACAGAAACAACUCAAACUGCCUUAAGCAAAUAAAAAGGAAAAUGUUGAUGUCUUCAUUCCUAAAAUUACCAGAGAUUAACUAGCUUCUGGCCUGGCUGGAUCCAGGAGCUACAAAGACAUCAUCGGGACUCUGCGUCCUGUGCUGGCUCUUGCUCCACUUCCUUCUGACUUCAUUCUACUGACUUCAUUCUCAAACAGCCGAAUAGUAAAAAUGGCCUCUGGCAGCUGCAAGCCAAUGAUCUCAGCAAAGAGCAAGUACCUCUUUCCUGAUCGUU